UACGUAGGGUGCGAGCGUUAAUCGGAAUUACUGGGCGUAAAGCGUGCGCAGGCGGUUUGUUAAGUCUGAUGUGAAAGCCCCGGGCUCAACCUGGGAACUGCAUUGGAAACUGGCAAGCUCGAGUAUGGCAGAGGGGGGUGGAAUUCCGCGUGUAGCAGUGAAAUGCGUAGAGAUGCGGAGGAACACCGAUGGCGAAGGCAGCCCCCUGGGCCAACACUGACACUGAGGAGCGAAAGCCAGGGGAGCAAACGGG
rnacentral:rRNA from 1 species